rnacentral:rRNA from 1 species
GCCCAGCCGUAAACUUUUACUUACAUUCAAAUCGCCUGGGAACUACGAGCAAAGCUUAAAACCCAAAGGACUUGACGGUACCCCACAUCCACCUAGAGGAGCCUGUCCUAUAAUCGAUAAUCCCCGUUCAACCUCACCACUUCUGGCCUAUCAGCCUGUAUACCUCCGUCCUCAGCUUACCUCGUGAGCGAAAUCUAGUAAGCUUAAUGCCCACACGCCAACACGUCAGGUCAAGGUGCAGCAAAUGAAGUGGGAAGAGAUGGGCUACACUCUCUAAUAUAGAAAAUACGAAAGACUACCUAUGAAAUCUAGUCAGAAGGCGGAUUUAGAAGUAAAAAGAAAAUAGCAUGUUCUUUUUAACCCGGCACUGGGGUGUGUACACACCGCCCGUCACCCUCUUCAUAAGAACCAAAAAGUACUUAACAACACUUAUCUACUCAGAAGAGGCAAGUCGUAACAUGGUAAGUAUACCGGAAGGUGUGCUUGGAAA